CUUGAACGCUGGCGGCAUGCCUUACACAUGCAAGUCGAACGGCAGCACGGGUGCUUGCCCCUGGUGGCGAGUGGCGAACGGGUGAGUAAUACAUCGGAACAUGUCCUGUAGUGGGGGAUAGCCCGGCGAAAGCCGGAUUAAUACCGCAUACGAUCUACGGAUGAAAGCGGGGGACCUUCGGGCCUCGCGCUAUCGGGUUGGCCGAUGGCUGAUUAGCUAGUUGGUGGGGUAAAGGCCUACCAAGGCGACGAUCAGUAGCUGGUCUGAGAGGACGACCAGCCACACUGGGACUGAGACACGGCCCAGACUCCUACGGGAGGCAGCAGUGGGGAAUUUUGGACAAUGGGCGAAAGCCUGAUCCAGCAAUGCCGCGUGUGUGAAGAAGGCCUUCGGGUUGUAAAGCACUUUUGUCCGGAAAGAAAUCCUUGGCCCUAAUACGGUCGGGGGAUGACGGUACCGGAAGAAUAAGCACCGGCUAACUACGUG
rnacentral:rRNA from 1 species